rnacentral:lncRNA from 1 species
AAUUAAUCCAAAAAUAUAAUGCUCAUGUUCUUGAUCUUAACCCAAAAUAAGAGUUUUAAUCGAUAAUAUUUAUAAUCACGAUUCAAAUUAUUUGAAUCAUGAUAUGAAAAUGUAAUGACUAAAUAAAAUAAUAAAUCCUAAUAAACCGGACUCCGUCUUCUUUUUUUCUCGUGAUUUUUCUCUUCCAAAGACGUCCAAGAAUUCAAAACCAUGCCAGGUG